ACUAAAGAGGGAAAAAGGGGGGAAAAAGGCAGGCUGAGAUUUCAGAGGGAGUUGAAGGUUGGAUGUGUGCUAUACUUGAUGGCUUUGUGAGGGUGAAGAUGGGACAGCACAUUUAUUUGAACUUCAUUGACUUUCUUAUACCCUGUGGGUGGGCAGGGGGGUGUUGUUGUUUGUUUGUUUGUUUUUGUACGGUUUUGUCACAUGCAGCGACCAGGAUCUUUUGCUAUAAAUUUCAUACAUUCAGUUUCCACAUUGAAGUGGCCUUUAAGGAUCGCGGCCAUCAAGUAUGCAACAACCCCGUCUCGAAAGUACUGGAUCCGUCUCUAAAAUUAACAUUGUUUCAUCACAACAUCACUCCCUAAACUGCUUGUACGGGAGGAAGAAAAUGAAGGCAGACUGUCGACGACGUGAUAGACAUCAGAGUUUCAUCAGUUGGUUUUAUAAUGACAGGCUAAAUGCCUAUCAGCAAAGGUAGCAGUUAGAAGUCCUCAUUGUUACACAAUGAGGCCUCUGUGAACCCAGGAGGAUGAGGGGAAAGAACAAGUGGCAGUAGAGAUGAAAAGAUGGAGACAAAAAAGAGUGGGAGAAAAGGAGAUGGCGAAGGAUAAGGAAAUAAGGGGAGAGGCCACGGUGAGGCCGUACAGCACACUGGAUGUGUGUGUUCGGGAAAGUUCUGAGUUCCUCACUGGAAGGACAAAUAGCUGUCAAAUGAGACAAAUGAGGCAGAAAAUGUAGUACACUAAGACGCUGCUCAAUGAAUGUCUGUCUCUCUCUGUCUCUCUUUCUCUCUCUCACACGACACACACACACACACACACACCACACACACACACACACAGGCCUUGAAGAAGAGUGAUGACACAAAGAGAGACGGACGAGGUCCGCAGAACACAGUCAUUUGACAGAUUGCGAGAGGAGGAGGAGGGGCCAGUGGUGUGGUCAGGUCACCACGUCCGGACAAAAGCGCAACCUCACUUCGCCUGCAUCAGCCGUCACCAAAAAGGACGAUGACAUCAAAAUGCUGCAGCUACAGGAGAUGCAAGUAGAUAUUUGAACUCCCGAGAGGCCGCUGACUUUGACGACGUGAUGCGAAACGACCCCUGAAGAGGCCACAUCGGACAUCCUCCUGCGAGGCUCGGAAUCUGGCGCAAACUCCUUCGCAUUGGCCUCCGCCUGGCAUAAGGUGGCCUCGUAGUCCUUGCAGGGCGUGUCGUCAUCCUCUCCGGGGGACAGGCUAUGGAAACCACAGUCCCUCCCAGUGGGCCCCAUCUGCGCCCCCCUCUGAAAUCGGGUCAGAAGAAGCUCCUCCCCUCCCUGCAGCGCUGACAGAAUUUUGGCGGCCAGCUCGGCGGCGUUGCCGUGUCCCUCGCGG